AUAAUUCCUUGACGUCUGUUGCCCCCGUUGAUGUUGUUGAUCCGUUAUUGCCAAAUGUGGGUGGAAGUCAAUUCCAUUGAAGGUGUCAGCUUUCUGUUGAAAAUUGCUCCAAGAUAGAAUCGCUACAAAAAAAAAAAAAAAACUUAAGACCAAAAGGAACAUUUUGUUAGGCAAUGAUUCUUCAUCUUCUGCUAUCUGCUCAGUGAAUCCCGAAUCGAUUUUUCACUUGAUGGUUGAGUGUCACUUUGUGAAUCAAGUCUAUUCCCUGGUGAGUUGUUGGCUGAACUAUAUUCUUAUUCCCCCCUUUUUAUCUGCACAACCA
rnacentral:lncRNA from 1 species